AUUGGUCAAAAUACUCCACUCUUAAAUUGUCUCAGAAUAUUACAUCUUAGAAGAGUAAGUAUGGUUUAAAGAGUCGUAUUUUCUGUAUGUACUGUAUGCAAAUGUUUGUUUAGCGGAAAAUUAGGGAAAAAAUAAGAUUACUACUCGAACUGUCUCUUUUCUGCAUGUUAUAAGGGAAGCGAAUGAGCACCAUAGAUGAGCACCUCCCUCAGAGUAUUUUUGGAGUGCGUAACUUAACGUUACAUUUGAUAUUGCUGACAUAAGCUUUGGUUCAGAUGAAACUCUUCUUUCAGUUUUCUGAAGUAGUCAUUCAGGUGCCUCACCAGAACCCAGUGUAAUGCUGCGUGAAUAUACGCUCAUAAGUAAAACGCAUACGUUCAAAACUAUAUAUUUUAGAAUAAAAGUAAUAAUAGCAUAGCAAUAUCUUGUAUAAAUAGACAUACAAUAGCGAUCGACAAAUGUGUUAAAUUUCCUUUUAUUUUGUUAUAAUUCUGUGUUGUGUAAUUUAAAAGCAUUGUCUGGAUGGUAAAGUUUGUCUUUGGUAAUUAAAACAAACUUGUCUGUACAUUUGACUUUCUCUAUAAAGAUUUAUUUAUAUAUUUAUGUUUAUUAUUUUACAGUGUUUUGAUGUGUUUCUGUAUUUUUCAUGUUUAUGAUAUUUUGGAAUGACUGAAGAUCAGCACAUAAUUCAAUAAUCUUGUGGAUGGACCGCAGCAAGUCCUUUUGCAGUUGUAUCCAUCAAAAUGCUAUGCAUACAUAAUGGAAAUGACAUUGUACAGCUUGGACAAAGUUCACACAGGCUUGGAGCAGGAAUUUAUCAAGUACAUGACUGUUGGGAUUACAGUUGUGGAUGACCAAACUGAGCACCAUCAAUCUGCAGUGAUGUGGUCCAGGUAAUAGAAGAAGAAAUCUUGGUGAUCUGGGGUUGUAACACGUUGUGGGGUUGUGUACUGUGUUAGACUAUCUGGGACUUCAACUAAUUCAGGUUUAAAACAACUUGAGGUUUAGUAAAUGACAAUUUUCUUUCUUUUUCUUUUUGGGUGAACCCUUUACGAAAAUGUAGAUAUUUUCUUUGGAAAACAGCUUCAAAAUUUAGAGAACAUAAUUUGACAUUAUUUUCCCUUCAGUUUUAUUCCUUGAAUUUUCUAUAAUUGGUCUUUAUAAGGUCUUUAUAAAGUCUUGAAUUUAUCUUCAUAAAACCAGCAGAAACCCUGUUUAUGGACAUCACCAUUCUUAAUUAUUUUGCUGAAUACUGUUGUGAAUACUGAAUACUGUUUUGUUGUGGGGAAGUCGUGGCCUAGUGGUCAGAGAGUUUGACUCCUAACCCUAUGGUUGUGGGUUCGAGUCUCGGGCCGGCAAAACCACGACUGAGGUGCCCUUGAGCAAGGCACCGCACCCCCAACUGCUCCCCGGGCGCUGCAGCAUAAAUGGCUGCCCACUGCUCCGGGGGUGUGUGUAUUCACUGCUGUGUGU
ensembl:lncRNA